rnacentral:rRNA from 1 species
GAUGAACGCUGGCGGCGUGCCUAACACAUGCAAGUCGAGCGAAGCGCUUAAAUUAGAUUUCUUCGGAAUGACGAUUUUUGUGACUGAGCGGCGGACGGGUGAGUAACGCGUGGGUAACCUGCCUCAUACAGGGGGAUAACAGUUAGAAAUGACUGCUAAUACCGCAUAAGACCCCAGCUUCGCAUGAAGCGGUGGUAAAAACUCCGGUGGUAUGAGAUGGACCCGCGUCUGAUUAGCUAGUUGGUAAGGUAACGGCUUACCAAGGCGACGAUCAGUAGCCGACCUGGGAGGGUGACCGGCCACAUUGGGACUGAGACACGGCCCAGACUCCUACGGGAGGCAGCAGUGGGGAAUAUUGCACAAUGGGGGAAACCCUGAUGCAGCGACGCCGCGUGAAGGAUGAAGUAUUUCGGUAUGUAAACUUCUAUCAGCAGGGAAGAAAGUGACGGUACCUGACUAAGAAGCCCCGGCUAACUACGU